rnacentral:rRNA from 1 species
AUACGUAGGGGGCGAGCGUUGUCCGGAAUGAUUGGGCGUAAAGGGCGCGUAGGCGGCCCGGUAAGUCUGGAGUGAAAGUCCUGCUUUUAAGGUGGGAAUUGCUUUGGAUACUGUCGGGCUUGAGUGCAGGAGAGGUAAGUGGAAUUCCCAGUGUAGCGGUGAAAUGCGUAGAGAUUGGGAGGAACACCAGUGGCGAAGGCGACUUACUGGACUGUAACUGACGCUGAGGCGCGAAAGUGUGGGGAGCAAACAGGAUUAGAUACCCUGGUAGUCCACACUGUAAACGAUGAAUGCUAGGUGUAGGGGGUAUCGACCCCUUCUGUGCCGCAGUUAACACAAUAAGCAUUCCGCCUGGGGAGUACGGCCGCAAGAAUGAAACUCAAAGGAAUUGACGGGG